rnacentral:rRNA from 1 species
GACGAAGGGGGCUAGCGUUGCUCGGAAUCACUGGGCGUAAAGGGUGCGUAGGCGGGGCUUUAAGUCAGGGGUGAAAUCCUGGAGCUCAACUCCAGAACUGCCUUUGAUACUGAGGAUCUUGAGUUCGGGAGAGGUGAGUGGAACUGCGAGUGUAGAGGUGAAAUUCGUAGAUAUUCGCAAGAACACCAGUGGCGAAGGCGGCUCACUGGCCCGAUACUGACGCUGAGGCACGAAAGCGUGGGGAGCAAACAGG